AUUGAACGCUGGCGGCAUGCUUUACACAUGCAAGUCGGACGAGUCGCGCACGUGUGUGUCACAUAUCGGAACGUACCGAGUCAUGGGGGAUAACUAAUCGAACGAUUAGCUAAUCCCGCAUAGCAUUCGAGCGGCCGAUAUUUGAUUCUCUGGUUGGUGGGGUAAAGGCCUACCAGGGCGAAGAUCUGUCGUGGGUGUGAGAGGAUGAGCCGCCACACUGGGACUGAGCCACGGCCCAGACUCCUACGUGAGGCAGCAGUGGGGAAUUUUGGACAAUGGGCGCAAGCCUGAUCCAGCCAUGCCGCGUGUCUGAAGAAGGCCGUCGGGUUGGAAAGGACUUUUGUCAGGGAAGCGGUACCGGAAGAAUAAGCACCGGCUAACUACGUGCCAGCAGCCGCGGUAAUUC
rnacentral:rRNA from 1 species